rnacentral:rRNA from 1 species
CCUACGUGAGGCAGCAGUAGGGAAUCUUCCUCAAUGGGGGAAACCCUGAAGCAGCACCGCCGCGUGGAGGAUGAAGGUUUUCGGAUUGUAAACUUCUUUUGUUAGGGAAGAUCAUGCCGGUAUCUAACGAUUCAGCACUGGCUAAUACCUUGUCAGCAGCCGCGGUAAAACGAAGGGUGCACGCGUUACGCGGAACCACGGGGCGUAAAGAGCGCGUAGGCGGGUUUGCAAGUCUGAUGUGAACUCCUAUGGCUUAACCAUAGAGAUGGAUUUGAAACUGUAAUUCUUGAGUAUGGAAGAGGUAGGUGGAAUUCUUGGUGUAGGGGUGAAAUGCGUAGAGAUCAAGAGGAAUACUCAGUGCGAAGGCGACCUGCUAGUACGUAACUGACGCUGAUGCGCGAAAGCGUGGGGAGCAAACAGGAUUAGAUACCCGUGUAGUC